GGCCUGCGGAGGACCCGGAAGGGGCUCUCGAGGGGGACCGCCCGUUGCCCGUCUCUCGCUCGUUUCCGCUGCCUUCCGGGUUGGGAGGGCUGGUGAGCUCCGUGCCGCGAGGUGCCACCGCCCAGCCCUGGUUCUGGUCACCCUGGGAUUUCUGCUCCUGGCCAGCCCACUGCGUAAGGAGGACUCACAAGCUCUUGAACUCUCCCUGCUCUCCUCUGAACUAUUGAAAGCUGAAGACGACGACAAGAUCCUGCUGAAUCUGAAGAGUCACCAGAACUAACACCUGAAGAGAUGUUGGUGCUUGUCCUCUGACGGGCAGAAUAAGCCGCCCUACUGGUGGCAGACUGGGUAGGAGAACCUACCAACUCAGGAAUUACUUUU